GAUGAACGCUAGCGACAGGCUUAACACAUGCAAGUCGAGGGACAUCAUGAGGUAGCAAUACCUUGAUGGCGACCGGCGCACGGGUGAGUAACGCGUAUGCAACCUGCCCGAUACCGGGGUAUAGCCCAUGGAAACGUGGAUUAACACCCCAUAGUACUUUUAUCCUGCAUGGGAUGGGAGUUAAAUGUUCAAGGUAUCGGAUGGGCAUGCGUCCUAUUAGUUAGUUGGAGGGGUAACAGCCAACCAAGACGAUGAUAGGUAGGUGUUCUGAGAGGAAGGUCCCCCACAUUGGAACUGAGACACGGUCCAAACUCCUACGGGAGGCAGCAGUGAGGAAUAUUGGUCAAUGGACGUAAGUCUGAUCCAGCCAAGUCGCGUGAGGGAAGACUGCCCUAUGGGUUGUAAACCUCUUUUAUAAGGGAAGAAUAAGUUCUACGUGUAGAAUGAUGCCUGUACCUUAUGAAUAGCAUCGGCUAACUCCGUGCCAGCAGCCGCCGUAA
rnacentral:rRNA from 1 species